GGUGAAGUGUCCGAGGGGCUGAAGGAGCACGCCUGGAAAGUGUGUAUACGUUAAUAGCGUAUCGAGGGUUCGAAUCCCUCUUUCACCGCCA
rnacentral:tRNA from 1 species